GAUCCUGGCUCAGGAUGAACGCUAUCUACAGGCUUAACACAUACAAGUCGAGGGGAAACGACGAUCGAAAGCUUGCUUUUGAUGGGCGUCGACCGGCGCACGGGUGAGUAACGCGUAUCCAACCUGCCUACCACCUGGGGAUAACCUUGCGAAAGUAAGACUAAUACCCAAUGACAUCCCACGAAGACAUCUGAAUGGGAUUAAAGAUUUAUCGGUGAUGGAUGGGGAUGCGUCUGAUUAG
rnacentral:rRNA from 1 species